rnacentral:lncRNA from 10 species
AAGGCAGGGAGGAAAGUGACAUUGUUGAGCCCUGUGCCCGGUGAAGUACGCAUGUGAGCUCAUCCAAUCUGCAGCCACUCCAGGAGGAGGGCAUCAUUAUCCUCAAUAAACAGAUGAGCAAACAGAGGCUCAUGGAGGGUCAGCGACGUGUCCAAGGUCACUGACUCAUCAGAAGGCUACUUUGUUCUCACUCCAUCAGGUGGCCCAAGGAGAAAGGGUGGUUCACAUCCAAUGAUUGAUCCAUGGAAAGACAUUGAGGCCUGAGCCCCUUUCCCCAGUCUGGAACAACUCUGAAGGCUCAUUCCAUUUCACAUUUCCCAUGG